rnacentral:tmRNA from 1 species
GGGGGUGUCACGGUUUCGACGGGGGUAGUGAAGUGCUGGUCGCGUGUCGCUGGACUCGGAAACGGCGUCAAAAACAUCCGGGAAUCUGUAAGUGCGAACGAUAGCACCUACGCUCUCGCGGCCUGAUAAGCUGAACUGAGAGCCGUCGAAGCGAAGAGCCCGUCAGUGCUCUCGUGGAGGCGUCACCGAACUGACUAGCUCUCUCCACGCGACUCGGGAGAAGGGCGAAAAUAAAGGGUCGAUAGCGGUACGGAGAGCCAGCCCGACGGGCGAGCCGGAUCGCGAUACAAAACGCGGGAUACACACGUAGAAGCCACCACGGAGCGCUCUCGGACCCGGGUUCGACUCCCGGCGCCUCCAA